rnacentral:rRNA from 1 species
AGUGAACGCUGGCGGUAGGCCUAACACAUGCAAGUCGAACGGCAGCACAGUAAGAGCUUGCUCUUACGGGUGGCGAGUGGCGGACGGGUGAGGAAUACAUCGGAAUCUACUUUUUCGUGGGGGAUAACGUAGGGAAACUUACGCUAAUACCGCAUACGACCUACGGGUGAAAGCAGGGGAUCUUCGGACCUUGCGCGAUUGAAUGAGCCGAUGUCGGAUUAGCUAGUUGGCGGGGUAAAGGCCCACCAAGGCGACGAUCCGUAGCUGGUCUGAGAGGAUGAUCAGCCACACUGGAACGGAGACACGGUCCAGACUCCUACGGGAGGAAGCAGUGGGGAAUAUUGGACAAUGGGCGCAAGCCUGAUCCGGCCAUACCGCGUGGGUGAAGAAGGCCUUCGGGUUGUAAAGACCUUUUGUUGGGAAAGAAAAGCAGCAGGUUAAUACCCCGCUGUUCUGACGGUACCCAAAGAAUAAGCACCGGCUAACUUCGUG